rnacentral:rRNA from 1 species
AGCCACCCCAACAGCUAGCCCAACUUCAAAAAACAACAACCAAUAUAAAUUAACCCCUAAAACCAACUAAAUUACAAAACAAACCAUUUUUAACCCAAAGUAUGGGAGACAGAAAAGGACCCCCGGCGCAAUAGAAAAAGUACCGCAAGGGAAAGCUGAAAGAGAGCUGAAAAAGCCCAAUAAAGGACACUAAAGCAGAGAUUUAACCUCGUACCUUUUGCAUCAUGAUUUAACAAGUAGACCUUAAGCAAAGAGAACUUUAUGUUUAAAGCCCCGAAACUAAGCGAGCUACUCCAAGACAGCCUAUCUAAAGGGCAAACCCGUCUCUGUGGCAAAAGAGUGGAAAGAGCUUUGAGUAGAGGUGAUAGACCUACCGAGCUUAGUUAUAGCUGGUUGCCUGAAAAAUGAAUAGAAGUUCAGCCUUUUAGUUUCUUAAACCAAAUAAGAUUACCCCUACUUCCGGGUAAAAGAUAAAUAAAAGAGUUAUUCAAAAGAGGGACAGCUCUUUUGAAAUAAGAUACAACUUUCUAAGAAGGUUAAAGAUUAUAACAUCAAAGGAAAAUUACUUAAGUGGGCCUAAAAGCAGCCACCCCUAAAGAAAGCGUUAAAGCUCAAGUACUUAUCCCCUUUAAUCCCAACAAAAACAUCCAACACCCCUAAACUUAUCAGGCCCACCCAUGCAACCAUGGGUGUGACAAUGUUAAAAUGAGUAAUAAGAGACUUAAGGCUCUCUCAAAUGCACUCGUGUAAAUCAGAACGAACCCGCACUGAAAAUUAACGCCCCCAACCAAAGAGGGAAAUGAGCUAAACUUAAAUAAAACAAGAAAACCUUCCAAUAAAAAAGCGUUGACCCCACACAGGAGUGCCCUAAUGAAAGACAAAAAGAAAAAGAAGGAACUCGGCAAACACUGGCCUCGCCUGUUUACCAAAAACAUCGCCUCUUGCCCAUGUUAUAAGAGGUCCCGCCUGCCCUGUGACAAAGUUUUAACGGCCGCGGUAUUUUGACCGUGCGAAGGUAGCGCAAUCACUUGUCUUUUAAAUAAAGACCUGUAUGAAUGGCAUAACGAGGGCUAAGCUGUCUCCUUUUUCCAGUCAAUGAAAUUGAUCUGCCCGUGCAGAAGCGGGCAUAAAUACAUAAGACGAGAAGACCCUAUGGAGCUUAAGACACCGGAACAGAUCACGUCAAUAAUACCUAAAUUAAAAGGAACAAACAAAAUGACUCCUGUCCAUAUGUCUUUGGUUGGGGCGACCGCGGAGAAAAACAAAACCCCCGCAUGGAACGGGACAAUGUCCCUAAAGCCAGAGCCACAGCUCUAACAUAACAGAAUAUCUGACCACAACGAUCCGGCAAUGCCGAUCAACGGACCCAGUUACCCUAGGGAUAACAGCGCAAUCCCCUUCUAGAGCCCAUAUCGACAAGGGGGUUUACGACCUCGAUGUUGGAUCAGGACAUCCUAAUGGUGCAGCCGCUAUUAAGGGUUC